UCGGGGCUGAGGAGGGAUGGAGCAGACGGAAAGUUGCGGUGGUGGGAGGAGGCGGGGGGCGAGGGCAGUACGGGACCCCGGCGGCGCCUGGACCGCGGGGGGAGCAGGGGCGCGGGGGACCUGCCGCCGCUGCCGGCUCUUUGUCUGCUCGGGCAACUUGAACAAAAGGAGAAACUCGGAUGAACUCUCCAUCUCUUCCUCGCCUCUCCCGGGUUAACUCAUCUUCGGCAACUUUAUCGGAAGAGAUUUGCUCAACUUUCUUGGAGCUCUCCCGCCGCUUAAAAGCAAAGAGCCCCGCCGUAGGCUUCUAAGGAAAUCUGGUUUCACAGUUUAGAGAAAGGAGAAGGUCACAACAUGAUUGCUGGGAAAAUGGGAUGGUUGCCAGAACAUCAGUCUGUGAUGUGUGCCAUAUUGCAUUACCCUUCAAAUGGUGGAAUACAGCUUGGGAUUCUUCAGGGCUGCUUGUUGUGGUUCUAACUGGACUAUACGGCUGCUUAAUGUCUUAGCGUAUUUUGGAUUCAUAGUAAUGGUUAAUGGUCUCCUGGGGGAAGUGGAAGAGCCCCAUGCUGAAACUUGUGGAUAUUGUGGAAUAUGCUGCUGAGACCCAUUUGGAUUAUAUCACCAUCUGAUACCAAGGUUCUGCAGCUGAUGAAAGGAGUUUACCAGAUCUUUUUAUGUGGUUGCUGAGGCAUUGCCCUGGGACAGCAGUAAUGAGGGAUGGAUGAACAGAACACACUUCAGGCUUGGGUCACAGAGAAAUGUGAGGGUUUACACUUCUGAAAUAGAUAUGAAUGGGAUUGAAGGAAUUAUGUGGAGGAUUACGAACUCCCCUUCUUCCUGCUCCAGGAAAGAUGAAGUCCUGCUAUGAGACCACCUCUGGUUAUGAUCCACAUGUGCUACUGAAACUGGCUAGAAUGGUGUGACAAAUGACUUCACUUCUUAUUUGUUGGACGCUUCUUAGAGAACUCCAAAGAGAGCUGAGAACAUACUUGACUCUGAUGAAGUGAUACAGAUACAUCUAAAUAUGAGCAAAAUGAAGCUUGC